GACGAACGCUGGCGGCGUGCUUAACACAUGCAAGUCGAACGGAAAGGCCCUGCUUUUGUGGGGUGCUCGAGUGGCGAACGGGUGAGUAACACGUGAGUAACCUGCCCUUGACUUUGGGAUAACUUCAGGAAACUGGGGCUAAUACCGGAUAGGAGCUCCUGCUGCAUGGUGGGGGUUGGAAAGUUUCGGCGGUUGGGGAUGGACUCGCGGCUUAUCAGCUUGUUGGUGGGGUAGUGGCUUACCAAGGCUUUGACGGGUAGCCGGCCUGAGAGGGUGACCGGCCACAUUGGGACUGAGAUCCGGCCCAGACUCCUACGGGAGGCAGCAGUGGGGAAUAUUGCACAAUGGGCGGAAGCCUGAUGCAGCAACGCCGCGUGCGGGAUGACGGCCUUCGGGUGGUAAACCGCUUUCGCCUGUGACGAAGCGUGAGUGACGGUAAUGGGUAAAGAAGCACCGGCUAACUACGUG
rnacentral:rRNA from 1 species